UCAUAGCUCAGUUGGUAGAGCAUGGGAUUCUUAAUCCCUGGGUUGUGGGUUCCAGCCCCGCGUUGGGCAAAA